rnacentral:tRNA from 1 species
GAGGUUGUGGCUCAGCGGUAGAGCGCUCACCUCGCAUGUGCAAGGCCCUGGGUUCAAUCUCAGCACCACA